rnacentral:tRNA from 1 species
GUUGACGUAGCUUAAACACAAAGCAUGGCACUGAAGAUGCCAAGAUAAACCCUAGAAAGUUUCGGUGAC